CCUGAAAGCCUCAUCUCUGGCUGUGCUCCAAGAGAACCUGGCCAAAAGCAAUUCCAGAGCACAUUAGGAUAAAGUGCAGAAGUCUUGCUCAUUCCUAGAGGUCAUCAGUGAACCCUUAAACUCAAUGGCUUCAUUUCGCUGUGCAGGAGUACUGAGGAGAGAAUCCUGAGGACCGAGUGUUCUUUGAAUCAAGAAGGAAGAAAAGUGGCAUUUUCACAAGAUGGUCCCUGCUCUCAGAAACCUCAACAGGGAGGCUGGGCAGACCCAGAUGGCUUUCUGCUCACUUGUAUUAUAUUCUCCUCACAAU
rnacentral:lncRNA from 1 species